rnacentral:rRNA from 1 species
CCGAAGUCGGUGAGGUAACCGUUUGGAGCCAGCCGCCUAAGGUGGGAUAGAUGAUUGGGGUGAAGUCGUAACAAGGUAGCCGUAUCGGAAGGUGCGGCUGGAUCACCUCCUUU